CACGCCGUAAACGAUGAUAACUAGCUGUCCGGGCACUUGGUGCUUGGGUGGCGCAGCUAACGCAUUAAGUUAUCCGCCUGGGGAGUACGGUCGCAAGAUUAAAACUCAAAGGAAUUGACGGGGGCCUGCACAAGCGGUGGAGCAUGUGGUUUAAUUCGAAGCAACGCGCAGAACCUUACCAGCGUUUGACAUGUCCGGACGAUUUCCAGAGAUGGAUCUCUUCCCUUCGGGGACUGGAACACAGGUGC
rnacentral:rRNA from 1 species